GUGCUAUAUUAUAAAACAAAUAUAAAACAUUUUUUCCGUAUUGAUAUACAGUAAUAUCAACACUCGUGGAAAUUGUGAAAACUCGAAAUUGUGUGAAAACACUCCGCCCUGCGGGCGUCGUGUUUCCACACAAUUUCUCGUUUUCCCAAUUUCCACUCGUGUUGAUAUAACUGUAUAUCAACACGGAAAAUGUUUUAUAUUUGUUAAAUAGCUCGUUGACCGCCGCAUCUAAUUUAG